ACUUACAUAGAGUACUAAUUUGAUUAAGGAAAAAUCAUGUUCAUUCAUAAUUUUCAUUUUAAAAGUGUAUUGAUUCCUUCUGCAAAUCCAUACUGUCAUGCCUAUUACCCAAUAUCGUCAACGCGGAUAGUUCGUUAGUCGAAAAUACUGAAUAAUUAAACAAACCAAAUGGCAUCACUGGUGGUUCUUUUUUCCACUCCGCUAAACUGUCAUCUCAAACAAAAACAAAUGGAUCAUACAACUGCUAUGAAUACAUUCGACUCGUUUGCUUCCAUCAAUCGGUAAGUGAGAAAGAUGAUUUCUCCCAUCAGUGCGGAUUUCCACUUCUAUCACAGCAGCCAACAACAUCCGUUUUCCUGCAGCAGUAACCUUCAACCCCUGUUGGCAAUGCCGGGGGACAGCAUCAACAGCAGCAGCAGCAGAAUUUGACCAUGGUAUGGUAUUGCGAAGAACUUUCCCCAUUAGAGGUUCCGUGCUUCGCGCACAUUCAAAAUCCUCUUCAGACACGAAAACUCAACGACAAGGAGGUAUUUAUCAACUUGCUCAGCUGAAUUACCACCCGGAGGAACCCGAAUGCACUGAUUCCGUUGUAUAGUAGAAUGAAAAUAGGCGAGGUAAGCGAACGUAAUCGCAUGAUAUUUUAAUAGUUCGCAUUUUUAUCCGGACUAGCGGCCCAAUUCUAUGUUUUAAUAAGUUUACCGAAAAGUCAUUGGAAUAGCUUUGCUGUUGCACUCAAACAGACUCUCGCAACUUAUUUUCUUUUCUUUUAUUCAAUGUUUCUUUUUUAGUCCAAAUAUCUCUAUGUCUCGAACAUCUACUCUUUCUCUGCGAUCAAUUGUUGCUCUUCCAAUUUUGACUUUGAAUUUCAACUCUCUACUCUUCAUUUCCUACUAUCUACUCUAUACUUUGUUCUCUCUUCUCUCUACUCUCUGCUCUUUAUUUUAAACUUUCCACUUUCUCUCCACUCUCACUACUCUCUACUCUCUACUAUUUCUACUCUCUACUUUCUCUAAUCUCUUUACUCUCUACUCUCUCUAUUAUCUACUCUCUACUCUCUACUCUCUCUACUCUCUCUACUCUAUCUACUCUAUCUACUCUAUCUACUGUCUACUCUAUCUACUUUCUACUCUCUCUACUCUCUCUUUUUUCUACUCUCUCUACUAUCUAUUCUCUCUACUUUCUACUCAUUCUACUCUCCUUACUCUCUACUCUCUCCACUCUCUCUACUCUCUACUCUCUACUCUCUACUCUCUCUACUCUCUACUCUCUACUCUCUACUCUCUCUACUCUUUACUCUCUCUACUCUCUUUACUUUCUACUCUCUACUAUCUCUACUAUCUACUAUCAGGUCAAUCACGAAGAGCAACUACGAAUUGUACAGUCUACCCAAGCUCAAGCUCAAGUUCUACUAUCUCUACUCUCUACUCUGUGCUCUCUCUACUCUCCCUACUCUCUCAUCUCUCUACUCUCUCUACUCUCCCUAUUUUCUACUCUCUCUACUCUCUAUUCUCUCUACUUUCUACUCAUUCUACUCUCCUUACUCUCUACUCUCUCCACUCUCUCUACUCUCUCUUCACUCCUCAUACUCUCCCUACUUUCUACUCUCUCUACUCUCUAUACUCUCUACUCUCUACUCUCUACUCUCUACUCUCUACUCUCUACUCUCUACUCUCUCUACUCUCUACUCUCUACUCUCUCUACUCUCCACUCUUUCUACUCUCUUUACUUUCUACUCUCUACUAUCUCUACUCUCUACUCUGUGCUCUCUCUACUCUCCCUACUCUCUCAUCUCUCUACUCUCUCUACUCUCCCUAUUUUCUACUCUCUCUACUCUCUAUUCUCUCCACUUUCUACUCAUUCUACUCUCCUUACUCUCUACUCUCUCCACUCUCUCUACUCUCUCUUCACUCCUCAUACUCUCCCUACUCUCUACUCUCUAUACUCUCUACUCUCUACUCUCUACUCUCUCUACUCUCUACUCUCUACUCUCUACUCUCUACUCUCUACUCUCUCUACUCUCCACUCUCUCUACUCUCCACUCUCUCUACUCUCUUCACUUUCUACUCUCUACUCUCUCUACUCUCCACUCUUUCUACUCUCUUUACUUUCUACUCUCUACUAUCUCUACUCUCUACUCUGUGCUCUCUCUACUCUCCCUACUCUCUAAUCUCUCUACUCUCUCUACUCUCCCUAUUUUCUACUCUCUCUACUCUCCCUAUUUUCUACUCUCUCUACUCUCUAUUCUCUCUACUUUCUACUCAUUCUACUCUCCUUACUCUCUACUCUCUCCACUCUCUCUACUCUCUGCUCUCUGCUCUCUACUCUCUACUCUCCACUCUCUACUCUCUACUCUCUACUCUCUACUCUCUACUCUCUACUCUCUACUCUCUACUCUCUACUCUCUACUCUCCACUCUCUACUCUCUACUCUCUACUCUCGACUCUCUACUCUCUACUCUCUACUCUCUACUCUCUACUCUCUACUCUCUACUCUCUACUCUCUACUCUCUACUCUCUACUCUCUACUCUCUACUCUCUACUCUCUACUCUCUCCUCCCUACUCUCUCUAGAGAUGGGCAAACCGUUCACGAACGGUACAAAAGAACUAGUUCGCCGAAAAGAGUGAACGAACGGUCGUUCUUUUUCAAAGAACGGUAGUUCUAUCCACGAACUGAUUCCGAAAGAACGGUUUGCGAGUGAACUGUUUGUGAACGAACUGGUUAAGAACGAACUGUUUGCGAGUGAACUGUUUGAGAGCGAACUGAUUGAGAGUGAACUGUUUGUGAACGAACUGAUUAAGAGUGAACUGUCUGGGAACGAACUGUUUGAGAGCGAACUGAUUAAGAGUGAACUGUUUGGGAACGAACUGUUUGAGUACGUAGUGUUUGUUGCGGGCGAACUGUUUGCGAACGGACGAGUGCAGCUGAACUGAUUUGUGCUGGACGGAAUAGAUUAAUGUAACGAGAACGCUUGUAAGAAAAAUAAAACAAUAUUGUCAUUUAUGAGCAAAAUGCAUGUAACGCAAGGUUUAUUUUGUUAAUGGUUUAAGCAAUUUUGGGUUAGAAAUUAAAUUAGAUUUUCGUAGUUUUAAAGGCAAAGCUAUAUAUUUUCAAUUUCAUGUAUUCUUUCAAAUCCGCGUAAUAUUAAUAUACUUCCUGAUUAUCAGAAAAAAAUCCGGGAAAGCUGGGGCGAUUCAUGAAUUAGGUAACAUAAAAUCUCAUAGUGAGGGCAAGUUAAGAAAAAAGUUUUUUCGUUGCUUUCAAUCCAUUGUUUGGCCUAUUGCGCGUCAUGAUGGUUUGUAUUUUUUUCUCUGAAUGAAAUAUGAUCUUACAUGAAACCUGUGUAUUGUCCAAACAGAAAAUCUGAAAAAUUGCAAUUGACGUUUAGUUCGCAUUAAAUUAUUACAUAUACUUUUGUCGGCCGAUAAACAUAUUUUCACAUACAGUUUGCGACUUUUGAAGAAGGACUAAAUUUCAAAAAUAUAAAUUCCAUACGUACACUAUCCAAUCCAACGAUAUCAAUGAAUAGCUGUCUAUUGAUGUUGGGUUGCAGCUAACAUUCUAUGUUGUUCUUAAUACCGCUGAACGAAAGAGCGAAAGAACGGUUCAAAAGAACUGAUUCACUUAGAUGAACGGUUAGUGACUGAACCAUUCAUCAAAGUGAACUGUUUUUCCCAUCUCUAACUCUCUCUACUCUCUACUGUCUCUACUCUCUCCUCUCUCCUUUCUAUUCUCUCCUUUCCACUCUCUCUACUCUCUACUCGCUGCUCUAAAAAAACGCACACACAAACACAUACACGCACAUGCACGCACAAAUGAACACAUGUACACACGCAGACGCGCACAGUCUCACACAAAAAAAAACGCAUCGCAGCUGCUGACUGCUCACUCUCUCACACUGUUUUUGAUUACAUCAACCAAUCAACUAACCAAAACACACACUCCCGCAAACGCACACGCACACGUACAUGCAAACACACACACACACGCACACACAAACACAUACACGCAAAUGUACACGCAAACGAACACACGCAGACGCACACACUCUCUCACACAAAAAACGCAUCGCAGCUGCUCACUGCUCACUCUCUCACUAUGUUUGUGUUUACGUCAAGAAUACGAACAUUUACGACCGUUUACGACUGUUCACGACGACCGCGCUUUAUUUUUUAGCGAUUUUAUUUAUAGUAAGAUCAUACAACUGGUGAGUAGGGAAUUCAUUUCUGCUUUUCACUUACUAAUCAUUUUAUUUUGUUUCAGCUAUGAAUACAUCCGACUCAAUCAAUCGGCGAGUGAGAAAGAUGAUUUCCCUCAUCACCACAUUGCUUAUUUCCACUUCUGUCACGCCAGCCAACAGCAUCAGCUUUCCCGCAGCAGUAUCCUUUAAGUCCAGGGUGCUAUUCCGAGCAACAGCAUCAUCAGUAACAGCAGCAGGACCUGGCCAUCGAAGUAUUUCGAGAAAUUUUCCCCAUCGGAGAUCCCGUGCUUCACGCACAUUGAAGAAACCUCCUCAGCCACAUAUGUGUGUCAAGGAGAAAAAGGAGCUGGAUUCGAAUCGUCAAUCCAGACAAUCCGAAUGCACCGAUUGCAUUAUAUAUCUUGUUUAUAUUUUAUAUGCAUUUUGUGUUUUUUUGAAUAAAAUGAUUAAAAUCGAUCAAUGUUUUUCCUUUUCAUGUUUCAUAACAAACCAAUACAAACAAGAGACGAUCAGUGUUGGAAGCAGCGUUACAUGCAGGUCGACGCCUUGCAUAUGUUGGCAAAAAAGUGGCGUCAAGUUGUUCGAUGAAUGCAUAUGAAAGGUCGAUAAAUCGAUUGCAAGGUGGCAGCAUUUGAGGUCGAUUGUUGACAUUUCAUCGACCCGAUCUUGGCAGGCAAAACGGAUUGUGGGCAGUAUUCGUUCGAUUAAUAAUCGAAUUCUGUAGGAAGUAUUCGAUUAAUCGAUUAAUCGAACGAUUAUCGGGGAUCACUAAGCGGAUGGCACAUCUCUACAUACAACUGGUGAGUAUGAAAUAUGUUUCGGCUUUUUAAUUAUUAAUUAUUUUAUAUUGUCUUAUACCAUGGACAGACAUACAACUGUACUAGCGCUGUACGUGUACAGCGUUGUACAGAUACCACGAUAGCAUGACACACAUACUUUGGUUGUACAUUGUACCGCAUGUCAGACUGACAAUCUGAAGUUUGAAUUUAUUGCAUUGUAUUUUCACCAAUAUUUCAAUGAAAAAGUUUUUUAUUUAGCGUCUAAACUAUCGAACACAACAAAUAUGUUUCAAUCUGAGUUAUUAACUCAAGAGAAAGUCAAUGAAAAGAAUGUAUACCAAAUGUUUUGAUUCGUUUUGUUCAUGCUACCCACCACUAACCGUCUAUGGCGCUGCGCACAGUACAACUGUAGCCAUGUACAGCGGAAAAAUAGGUCGGUACAGGUACAGCGAUUGUACCGAGUUGCUUGCAUGGUUCUAGCGCUGUACAUGGUGACAGACAUACAAUUUUCGAAGUACAACGCAAGUACAGCUGUAUGUCUGUCAUAAGUAUUAUCAGCUAUGAAUACAUUCGACUCGUUUGCUUCCAUCAAUCGGUAAGUGAGAAAGAUGAUUUCUCCCAUCACCACAGUGCGGAUUUCCACUUCUAUCACGGCAGCCAACAACAUCCGUUUUCCUGCAGCAGUAACCUCCAACCCCUGUUGGCAAUGCCGGGGGACAGCAUCAACAGCAGCAGCAGCAGAAUUUGACCAUGGUAUGGUAUUGCGAAGAACUUUCCCCAUUAGAGGUUCCGUGCUUCGCGCACAUUCAAAAAUCCUCUUCAGACACGAAAACUCAACGACCAGGAGGUAUUUAUCAACUUGCUCAGCUGAAUUACCACCCGGAGGAACCCGAAUGCACUGAUUCCGUUGUAUAGUAGAAUGAAAAUAGGCGAGGUAAGCGAACGUAAUCGCAUGAUAUUUUAAUGUUCGCAUUUUUAUCCGGAUCAUACAACUGCUAUGAAUACAUCCGACUCAAUCAAUCGGCGAAUGAGAAAGAUGAUUUCCCUCAUCACCACAUUGCUUAUUUCCACUUCUGUCACACCAGCCAACAGCAUCAGCUUUCCCGCUAUUCCGGGGAACAGCAUCAACAGCAACAGCAGCAGGACCUGGCCAUAGUAUUUCGGGCAAUUUUCCCCAUCGGAGAUCCCGUGCUUCACGCACAUUGAAGAAUCCUCCUCAGCCACAUAUCUGUGUCAUCAAGGGCAAGGAGGUAUUCAUCAAUGUACUCAGUCGGAUUUGAAUCGUCAAUCCAGACAACCCGGAUGCACCGAUUCCAUUGUAUACCUUAUUUUUAUUAUACAUGGAUUUUUAUUA